rnacentral:rRNA from 1 species
AUACGAAGGGGGCUAGCGUUGUUCGGAAUCACUGGGCGUAAAGCGCGCGUAGGUGGAUCAAUUAGUUGAGGGUGAAAUCCCGGGGCUCAACCUCGGAACUGCCUUCAAUACUGUUGAUCUUGAGACCGCGAGAGGUGAGUGGAAUUCCUAGUGUAGAGGUGAAAUUCGUAGAUAUUAGGAAGAACACCAGUGGCGAAGGCGGCUCACUGGCUCGGUACUGACACUGAGGUGCGAAAGCGUGGGGAGCAAACAGGAUUAGAAACCCUAGUAGUCC